GGCAAUGGGCGAAAGCCUGACCCAGCAACGCAGCGUGAGGGAUGAAGUAUUUCGGUAUGUAAACCUCGAAAGAAUGGGAAGAAUAAAUGACGGUACCAUUUAUAAGCUCCGGCUAACUACGUGCCAGCAGCCGCGGUAAUACGUAGGGAGCAAGCGUUGUUCGGAUUUACUGGGCGUAAAGGGCGCGUAGGCGGCGCGGUAAGUCACUUGUGAAAUCUCUGAGCUUAACUCAGAACGGCCAAGUGAUACUGCUGUGCUAGAGUGCGGAAGAGGCAACCGGAAUUCUUGGUGUAGCGGUGAAAUGCGUAGAUAUCAAGCGGAACACCUGAGGCGAAGGCGGGUUGCUGGGCCGACACUGACGCUGAUGCGCGAAAGCCAGGGGAGCAAACG
rnacentral:rRNA from 1 species